rnacentral:rRNA from 1 species
CUUAGUGAGGUCUUAGGACCGAGGUAAUGGAGCUCUAACGGGUUCUUUUGCUUUGGAAAUUUGAUCGAACUACGUUAUCUAGAGGAAGUAAAAGUCGUAACAAGGUUUCCGUAGGUGAACCUGCGGAAGGAUCAUUACCAAGCUUAAAAAGAA